rnacentral:lncRNA from 1 species
AAUGCCUCAAAUAAAGAUAGCCACAUCCAAGCUUAGCAACUCUAGGAUCUUCUUCAAAUUUGCCCAUGUAGCAGAUGAAUUCCACAAUGCAUAAAUCCUAGGUUUAAAAUAACAACUUCACAAUGAUCAUGUUGCAGAUGAACUCAAAUGGAUCUUCAAUGAUGUAUCAGAUGAAGUUUCAAAUUACAAGCACUUGGUUACAUGAAAGUUGGCAUUGGCCAAGUCCUUUGCAUAGGGAAUGUUGCCUAAAUUC